AUUUAUAUAGUAUAAGUAUUAUAACUAGCUUCCAAUUAGUAGAUCUAUAAGUAGUAUAAAUA
rnacentral:tRNA from 1 species